rnacentral:snRNA from 1 species
GGAUGUGGGGACAAUGUGAUUGCCACAUCUGUCACCCCAUUGAUCACCACACUGAUUUGGUGAUCUAGCUAGCUAGGUGGGUGUCCCCUUCCCCGAAUACUCCAUGUUUAUCUCUUCUGAAGCUGCAAAUCCAUCAAAGAGGAAGCCUUCCUGGAUAGAGGAGGACAGGUCUGCAGUCAAAGGAGUAACUGCAUUCCUCUGCUAGAAUCUCCAAACGUCUCAAGAAAAUUAAAUGGGCUGAGCUGGGCCCGGUGGCACAUGCUUUUAAUCCCAGCACUCAGGAGGCAGAGGCAGAUGGUUCUCUGUGAG